rnacentral:rRNA from 1 species
AUUGAACGCUGGCGGCAUGCCUUACACAUGCAAGUCGAACGGCAGCACGGGAGCAAUCCUGGUGGCGAGUGGCGAACGGGUGAGUAAAGUAUCGGAACGUGCCCAGUCGUGGGGGAUAACGUAGCGAAAGUUACGCUAAUACCGCAUACGAUCUAUGGAUGAAAGCGGGGGAUCGCAAGACCUCGCGCGAUUGGAGCGGCCGAUAUCAGAUUAGGUAGUUGGUGGGGUAAAGGCUCACCAAGCCGACGAUCUGUAGCUGGUCUGAGAGGACGACCAGCCACACUGGGACUGGGACACGGCCCAGACUCCUACGGGAGGCAGCAGUGGGGAAUUUUGGACAAUGGGCGAAAGCCUGAUCCAGCCAUGCCGCGUGCAGGAUGAAGGCCUUCGGGUUGUAAACUGCUUUUGUACGGAACGAAAAGGUUUGGCCUAAUAAGCUGAGCUCAUGACGGUACCGUAAGAAUAAGCACCGGCUAACCACGUGCCAGCAGCCGCCGUAA